UGGAUUUGACAUCUCGGGAAUCCUAUCGAAAGACUGGAGUGCCCUUCGGGGAGCCCGAAGAC
rnacentral:rRNA from 1 species